CGAAUGGGAUUAGAUACCCCAGUAGUCCUAGCCGUAAACGAUGGAUACUAGGUGUUGUCUGUAUCGACCCGGACAGUGCCGUAGCUAACGCGUUAAGUAUCCCGCCUGGGGAGUACGCACGCAAGUGUGAAACUCAAAGGAAUUGACGGGGGCCCGCACAAGCGGUGGAGUAUGUGGUUUAAUUCGAUGAUACGCGAGGAACCUUACCCGGGCUUAAAUUACACCUGAAUAAUCUGGAAACAGAUUAGCCGCAAGGCAGGUGUGAAGGUGCUGCAUGGUUGUCGUCAGCUCGUGCCGUGAGGUGUCGGCUUAAGCGCCAUAACGAGCGCAACCCCUUAUCUUCAGUUACUAACAGGUUAUGCUGAGGACUCUGGAGAGACUGCCGUCGUAAGAUGUGAGGAAGGUGGGGAUGACGUCAAAUCAGCACGGGCCCUUACGUCCGGGGCUACACACGUGUUACAAUGGGGGGGUACAGAAGGCAGCUACCUGGUGACAGGAUGCCAAUCCCGAAAGCCUCUCUCAGUUCGGACUGGAGUCUGACCCG
rnacentral:rRNA from 1 species